rnacentral:rRNA from 1 species
AUUGAACGCUGGCGGCAGGCCUAGCACAUGCAAGUCGAGCGGAUGAAGGGAGCUUGCUCCUGGAUUCAGCGGCGGACGGGUGAGUAAUGCCUAGUAAUCUGCCUGGUAGUGGGGGAUAACGUCCGGAAACGGGCGCUAAUACCGCAUACGUCCUGAGGGAGAAAGUGGGGGAUCUUCGGACCUCACGCUAUCAGAUGAGCCUAGGUCGGAUUAGCUAGUUGGUGGGGUAAAGGCCUACCAAGGCGACGAUCCGUAACUGGUCUGAGAGGAUGAUCAGUCACACUGGAACUGAGACACGGUCCAGACUCCUACGGGAGGCAGCAGUGGGGAAUAUUGGACAAUGGGCGAAAGCCUGAUCCAGCCAUGCCGCGUGUGUGAAGAAGGUCUUCGGAUUGUAAAGCACUUUAAGUUGGGAGGAAGGGCAGUAAGUUAAUACCUUGCUGUUUUGACGUUACCAACAGAAUAAGCACCGGCUAACUUCGUG